rnacentral:rRNA from 1 species
GCACGAAAGGGUGAGUAACACGUAACCAACGUACCCCUCAGAUCGGGAUAACCACUGGAAACGGUGGAUAAUACUGAAUGGUCCUAGGAAGGACAUCCUUCCGAAGGUAAACGUCGGCUUCGGCUGCUGUUGAGGGAGCGGGUUGCGUCCUAUCAGCUUGUUGGUGAGGUAACGGCUCACCAAGGCUAUGACGGGUAGCGGGUCUGAGAGGAUGAUCCGCCACACUGGGACUGAGGCACUGCCCAGACUCCUACGGGAGGCUGCAGUCGAGAAUCCUCCACAAUGGGCGAAAGCCUGAUGGAGCGACGCUGCGCGUAGGAUGAAGGCCUUAGGGUUGUAAACUACUGUCACGCUAUAGGAACCCGUGUAGGUUAAUAGCCUGCGCGCUGACCAAAGCGAGAGGAAGUGCCGGCUAACUCCGUGCCAGCAGCCGCGGUAAGACGGAGGGCGCAAGCGUUGUUCGGAAUCACUGGGCAUAAAGGGCGCGUAGGCGGCCAGUUCAGUCGGAUGUGAAAUCCCCCGGCCCAACCGGGGAACUGCAUUCGAUACUGACUGGCUAGAGGAUGGUAGGAGCCAAUGGAACUCCAGGUGGAACGGUGAAAUGUGUAGAUAUCUGGAGGAACACCGGUGGCGAAAGCGAUUGGCUGGGCCAUUUCUGACGCUGAGGCGCGAAAGCUAGGGGAGCGAACGGGAUUAGAUACCCCGGUAGUCCUAGCCGUAAACGAUGAGUACUGG